UUCGAGUGGCGGACGGGUGAGUAACGCGUGGGUAACCUGCCUUACACAGGGGGAUAACACCUGGAAACAGGUGCUAAUACCGCAUAAGCGCACAGGGCCGCAUGGCCCGGUGUGAAAAACUCCGGUGGUGUAAGAUGGACCCGCGUCUGAUUAGCUUGUUGGCGGGGUAGGGGCCCACCAAGGCGACGAUCAGUAGCCGGCCUGAGAGGGUGGACGGCCACAUUGGGACUGAGACACGGCCCGAACUCCUACGGAAGGCAGCAG
rnacentral:rRNA from 1 species